rnacentral:snRNA from 1 species
CAAUGGGUGACUCGACAAGAACAUCAGCCCUCCUAUUGAUUUCCCAGGGUUGAUCUGGCUGACUAGGUGUUUGUCUUCUUCUUCCAUCACGACUCCACUGUGUUUCUCCCCAAACUGUAUCUUGGAAGAGGAUAGCCUUCCCUGAAUAUAAAUGGACCAUUUGAGGGUAUCUGAGUAGCUGUGGUCCCCUGCUAGAACCUCCAAACAAGCUCACAAAUGUUAGGCAUGAAAAAUAAUCUUGUCACUUUUUGAACCUGCAAUGAAUU